UGGGGAAUAUUGCACAAUGGGCGCAAGCCUGAUGCAGCCAUGCCGCGAGUGUGAAGAAGGCCUUCGGGUUGUAAAGCACUUUCAGCGGGGAGGAAGGCGUUAAGGUUAAUAACCUUGGCGAUUGACGUUACCCGCAGAAGAAGCACCGGCUAACUCCGUGCCAGCAGCCGCGGUAAUACGGAGGGUGCAAGCGUUAAUCGGAAUUACUGGGCGUAAAGCGCACGCAGGCGGUCUGUCAAGUCGGAUGUGAAAUCCCCGGGCUCAACCUGGGAACUGCAUUCGAAACUGGCAGGCUAGAGUCUUGUAGAGGGGGGUAGAAUUCCAGGUGUAGCGGUGAAAUGCGUAGAGAUCUGGAGGAAUACCGGUGGCGAAGGCGGCCCCCUGGACAAAGACUGACGCUCAGGUGCGAAAGCGUGGGGAGCAAACAGG
rnacentral:rRNA from 1 species